rnacentral:lncRNA from 1 species
UACUAUUGAGAGAUAUAAGGCAAGGUUGGUUAUUCGAGGUGAUACACAGGUUGAGGGUGUGGACUUUACAGACACAUUUUCUCCUAUUGUCAAGAUGACUUCAGUGAAAUGCAUUAUUGCAGUAGCUGUUAAGAACCACUGGCCACUGUAUCAGCUUGAUGUUAACAAUGCUUUCCUUCAUGGUGAUUUGGAUGAGGAAGUGUACAUGAAACUUCCUCCAGGUUUGGUGGUAUCUGAUUCUGUUUCUCCCUCUUCUUCUUCUACUUCUUCUUCUUCUCUUCCUUUGGUUUGCAAACUAAAGAAUCUUUGUAUGGGCUCAGGCAGGCCUCCAGGCAGUGGUAUGCUAAACUGUCAUCUGCUCUUCAUUCCAGAGGUUACAGGCACUCUCGGUUUGCAAACUAAAGAAAUCUUUGUAUGGGCUCAGGCAGGCCUCCAGGAAGUGGUAUGCUAAAUUGUCAUAUGCUCUUCAUUCCAGAGGUUACAGGCACUCUUUGAAUGAUUAUUCUUUAUUUUUAAAAGGUAC